AGUCUGCCUCUAACUUGCUACGAUUGUGGACGUGUGCUGGGAUUUUUUUUUUUGUUCGAAAAGUCUGUUAAGUUCGAAUUUACCGUACAUUCGAUACUAUAUAUGCAACAUUGUUACUUGAUAAUACCAAAUAAUAAAUUAAGAAACUCAAGUGAUGUAUCACUUUAACUAAACAAAGAACUUGUCAUUUCCCAUUCUACACUAUCCUUAUUUUGCUUAGAAGAGCACCCACUGAAUUUUGAUACAAGCAGUAACAAGAAAGAAACAACAUUAAGUUUGGACUCCCGCUAAAACAUUGAAGACGUGUUAUAACGUCUUGUAUAAGAGAAAGGUUGACGUUAUCAUUCGUCCAAAAUGGAUAACGAUCAGCAGUUUUGUUUGCGAUGGAACAACCAUCAGAGCACUCUGAUCAGUGUCUUUGACAAUCUUUUGACAAGUCAGACACUUGUGGAUUGUACAAUCGCUGCUGAAGGAAAAUUUCUUAAAGCACACAAAGUUGUUUUAUCAGCAUGUAGUCUAAUUUUGCAACCUUACUUCAACAACAAUAUGAUAAACAUCCUAUUCUAAUUUUGAGAGAUGUUAAGUAUCAGGAGUUGACCGCAAUGAUGGACUAUAUGUAUCGUGGCGAAGUAAAUAUUUCGCAAGAUCAAUUAGCACCCUGGCAACAUGAUAGAUCUCAGGAUGAAUUGUUACUGACAACACAAGAUGCACAGCAACGGGACCCACAAG